rnacentral:misc_RNA from 1 species
AACGCACCUUGCGCUCCUUGGUAUUCCGAGGAGCAUGCCUGUUUGAGUGUCAUUAAAUUCUCAACCUCACCAGUUUUGUAAUGAAUCUGUGUAAGGCUUGGAUGUGGGGGUUUUUGCAGGCUGCCUCUGUGCGGUCUGCUCCCCUGAAAUGCAUUAGCGAGUUCACUAAGCUCCGUCUAUUGGUGUGAUAAUUAUCUACGCCGUGGAAGGGGUUUAGACUUGCUUCUAACCGUCUGCAAAGACAACUUUUGACAAUUUGACCUCAAAUCAGGUAGGACUACCCGCUGAACUUAA